rnacentral:lncRNA from 1 species
UUACACAAAUUGUGCCACAUGAACUCUUCUAUAUCAUUUGGAUUUCGAGCAACAUCUAACCGAAACUGCUCAGCUCCUUCUAUAUCAUAUGACUUCUUCUAUAAAGGCCAUAUUUAAAAUAUUUUGCAUAACCAAAUGAGGAAAAGAAUAUACCCUAUAUUGAUCUUAACUCUUUAGGAUAUUUGUUUCCCAUAAAUAUCAUGGCACACGUCUUUCAAAGAGUAGCAACAAACAUAAUUCAUUCAAUAUUCCUUUAAAUUCAUUAACAAGGCUAAAAAACCUAUGAUAAAUAAAAUAAAAAACCCAUCACACAUUUCAUAUGAUAUUCAUUGACAAUAUACAACACUUACGCUUGAAAAUCCAGUUUCAGAUGUAAUAUAAUUCAACUUUAAGCUUCAAAAAUCAUAUGUUUUGUGUUUGUGCACACACAGAGUGGUGUAAGUUCGAAUCAUACCUCAUAGGAAUAGUAAUCGCUUUAAUCUUUUCAGAUGUCCUAAGUUCCUUAUUCACAAUAGGAUGGUACUGUAUAGAAAUCAAAUAAACACAAAAAUCAUGAACGAGUAAGCUCACACAGACUAGACAACGAAAGAGAAAGUUCGUCACUUACCGAAGACAAAACAAGAGAAGCUUCGUCGAUUUGGAGAUAGAUUUGGGAUUGGAACGAUGAACGAGUUAGGGAUUUAGAUUUCAAGCGGCUAUAAGGGAUUUAGAACAUGUUAGGGAUUUAAAGCGACUAAAAGGAUGAAGAUUUGGAAUGAGUUAGGAAUUUGGAGGCGUUUGUGGUUGAAGGACUUGGAACUCCAUAGCUUCGC